CGAGGUGUAGCGCAGCUGGCUAGCGCACCUGCUUUGGGAGCAGGGGGUCGCAGGUUCGAAUCCUGCCACUUCGA
rnacentral:tRNA from 1 species